UUGACCUUUAGAAAAGAAGGUCUGGCUACAGCUUUGCCAGGUUUAUAAGCCGUUGGACCAUCUUCUGGCAGCAUUCACCACAUUAAUCAGUAGGAGAGAGAAAGAGAAGGAAAAGAAUUUACUCGCUUUGGCUGGACUGUAGCUCUUGAAGCCUCAAUUUGGUGGAUUGUGUGAGACUGCAGAAGUUGCUAACAUCUCCUCUCCUGAGUGUUGAUGAAUUUUUGGCUCAUCUGGUUAUGCAAAGAUCCUGAGUUGCUAUGAUUUUAUGGAGUAUCAUCACCUGGACUUCUAACAUAUUGUUUCCGAUUGGGAAAACAAUCUGGAAGUCUGACUGCAAGAUUGCAAAGCAGCACAGGAGGCCUGCAAGAGCCAUGGAAAGAAUCCUACCAGAGCCAAAUGAACUAGCGUGCUCCCAGGCCACAGGGAACUGUGGCUUUACUGUGUCUUCCCUCCAACCAGCUGCCUCCUGCAUCACUGGAGGCAUGAUCUGUCCCCAGUGUAGAAUCCAUUCUUCUUGGCAUGGAGCUCAUAUGUUUAUGGGAGGGCUUUUGAAUGGGAUGGAGUGGGAAGAAAAAGCAGAGCAGUUUAGUUGCUUCCAUGUAUUAUUAUUGAUGCAAGUCUGCUGUAUUAGUUGUUUAUUCUCAUAUCAAAAAUUUCAACAGAAUUUCAGGUCUUGAGCUCAAUUCUUUUCCAAAACAUGAAUUCCCUUAACAUGCCCAACUAGAGCUUCUUUAGCAUUUGCUGCAGUUCCUUCAAUUCAUCCCAGUUUCAGAUGGACUUAAUUGUCAAAAAGUUGGAAUAAGAUUGUCCUCUCUGUAAUGUUUACCAAAAAUGUUUUGGAGUCACCCGGAGUAAGUCUGACUUCUCUUCCUCAUGCAAACUCAAAAUAUAGUCUCUAAUUACAGGAAAAUUUUCUUUG